CGAGUCCCCGCCGGAGGGCUUCAGGCGCGCCGCGCGGGGCUCCUUCUCCGCCAUACUGGACCUCAUCACUGCCACGGCCAACGUUGACAUACAUCAAGAUCAUUCCGAAGAGUCGUCUACACCGCGCACUGACGACAAGUCCGGUGGUCAUUCACCCGCUCCUAGCGAAGGUACGGAUGGCGACGAAAGGUGAUGGUCGGCCACAACUCUUCUUGAUCGACUUGCGCAACGUGGCUUCGCUGCAGACACCCGCUUGGCUCUACCACCAACUGGUUGCGCCCGCUACAGAGAGCUGUGUUACCGUGCGGCACAAGCUCACUUACCUGAUGAGGUGCCGCCGCGGCCCUGCGAUUGUAUCAACUGCACCUCACGCCGCAAUUCCUGCGAGCCCUGAUACCAGUUCAACGUACAGCCUACACGGCCAACGCAAUCAAUAUUACCACGACUACUUGAAUAGUAUCCAAAAUGCGUUCCUUUGGUGAAUUUGCGUAGUUUAGUACUCCUUCGGCAAUUUCACAAUUUGUUGUGUAUAACUUAUUUAGAACAAUUAA